AGCUAUGUAGCUCAGUCGGUCAGAGCACAGCACUCAUAACGCUGAUGUCAUGGGUUCGAUUCCCAUCAUAGCUA
rnacentral:tRNA from 1 species